rnacentral:rRNA from 1 species
UACGUAGGGUGCAAGCGUUGUCCGGAAUUAUUGGGCGUAAAGAGCUCGUAGGCGGUUUGUCGCGUCUGCUGUGAAAACCCGAGGCUCAACCUCGGGCCUGCAGUGGGUACGGGCAGACUAGAGUGCGGUAGGGGAGACUGGAAUUCCUGGUGUAGCGGUGAGAUGCGCAGAUAUCAGGAGGAACACCGGUGGCGAAGGCGGGUCUCUGGGCCGAUACUGACGCUGGAGGAGCGAAAAGCGUGGGGAGCGAACAGG